CGCGUGUCCCCGGAGCCCGCCGCAUUCCUGCUGCCGUACGUGACACGCCCCGGGGCGGGAGCUCAUCCCGCCGCUCGCCCCAGGCCCUGCGGGCGGGGGCGGCCCCGCGAGGCCUCGGUGCACGGGCGGAGAGCGGAGCUGCUCGGCUGCGGACACGGCGGGGGCAGCCGGGCCUGGGGCUGAACAAUUCGUCCUCACAGUGAGCAUCUCUGCAGACCAGCACUGACCUGCCAAGCACACGGCCGCCCAAAGCCCGUGCCACUCAAGCAUGGAACGCUUGUCCUGAGAGCAACAGCAACCACUUGUACACUCAGCACUGGCCAUGCCACUUAGUUAAAAUAUAGAAAACCUUUACAAGAUGCAAUCAUUUUUUAAAUGUGUGCAUCACAUAUAUCCAUGUACACAUCUGUCACACUUCAAUAAAAAUAAACGCUCUUAAGUACA
rnacentral:lncRNA from 1 species